AUGCUUUCACAACUUGAUUUCAAAAUAUUUGGUUUGGAGACCAUCAAAGAUCAAUAUGUGCAUGAUGCUGAUUUUAAAGAUGUAAUGCAGAAUUGUAAAGAAGGAAGAAUGUGGAACAAGUUUGUCCUUAACGAUGGAUUUGUGUUUCGUGCUAACAAGCUAUGCAUUCCAGCUAGCUCCUUUCGUCUUUUGUUGUUGCAGGAGGCGCAUGGAGGAGGAUUAAUGGGACACUUUGGCGUGAAGAAGACGGAGGACGUACUUGCUACACAUUUCUUUUGGCCAAAGAUGAGACGGGAUGUUGAGCGUUUUAUUGCUCGAUGCACUACAUGUCAAAAAGCUAAGUCACGACUCAAUCCUCAUGGUUUAUAUAUGCCUUUGCCUGUACCUAGUGUUCCUUGGGAGGAUAUAUCUAUGGACUUUGUUUUAGGUUUACCUCGAACAAAGAAGGGGAGGGAUAGCAUAUUUGUUGUCGUGGAUAGAUUCUCGAAAAUGGCACACUUUAUACCAUGUCAUAAAAGCGAUGAUGCUGUUAAUGUUGCUGAUUUGUUCUUUCGUGAAAUUAUUCGCUUGCAUGGUGUGCCAAAUACUAUUGUUUCAGAUCGUGAUAGUAAAUUUCUUAGCCAUUUUUGGAGAUGUUUAUGGGCUAAGUUGGGGACUAAACUGCUUUUUAGUACUACUUGUCACCCCCAAACUGAUGGACAAACUGAAGUAGUCAAUAGAACGUUGUCUACUAUGCUUAGGGCUGUUUUGAAGAAUAAUAAGAAAAUGUGGGAGGAAUGCUUGCCUCAUAUUGAAUUUGCUUAUAAUCGUUCAUUGCAUUCUACUACUAAGAUGUGCCCUUUUGAAGUUGUGUAUGGUUUCCUACCUCGUGCACCUAUUGAUUUGUUGCCUCUUCCAUCUUCGGAGAAGGUUAAUUUUGAUGCUAAACAACGUGCUGAAUUGAUUUUAAAAAUGCAUGAGUUAACUAAGGAAAACAUUGAGCGUAUGAAUGCUAAAUAUAAACUUGCUGGAGAUAAGGGUAGAAAACAUGUUGUGUUUGCACCUGGAGAUCUUGUUUGGUUACAUUUGCGUAAGGAUAGAUUUCCUGAUUUGCGCAAAUCAAAGUUAAUGCCACGUGCUGACGGUCCCUUUAAGGUGUUAGAGAAAAUAAAUGAUAAUGCAUAUAAACUUGAGCUGCCUGCAGAUUUUGGGGUUAGUCCCACUUUUAACAUUGCAGAUUUGAAGCCUUAUUUGGGUGAGGAAGAUGAACUUCCGUCGAGGACGACUUCAUUUCAAGAAGGGGAGGAUGAUGAGGACAUCAAUACCACUGUUACACCCACAGCCCCUGCUGCUAUACAUACUGGACCAAUUACUAGAGCUCGCGCACGCCAACUAAAUUACCAGGUACUUUCGUUUCUUGGUAAUGAUUCUAAUGUUCAUGAGAAUAUGAUGCUGCCUAAAUUGGAUACAUUUGUUUUGCUUACAAAUGAAGGGCCUAGCUUGGAGAAGGAUGAACAUUGGAGCAAGAACAAGCAUGGAGAUGAUGGCAUGCGCAAGGGGAACAAUAACGGAGUUACAAGUGAUGAUUUCAGGACUUUGAAGCCACCAUAA
rnacentral:rRNA from 1 species